rnacentral:rRNA from 1 species
ACCGGUGGAGCAUGUGGUUUAAUUCGAUACAAAGCGAAAAACCUUACCCGGGUUUGACAUGUACCUGCACGUUCUGGGAAACCAGAAUUUCUUCGAGAGUGGUACACAGGUGAUGCAUGGCUGUCGUCAGCUCGUGUCGUGAGACGUCCGCUUAAGUGCGGUAACGAGCGCAACCCUUGUCCUGUGUUAUAUAUGUCACAGGAGACUGCUCCUGCUAUGCAGGGGAGGAAGGAGAGGACGAUGUCAAGUCAGCAUGUCCCUUACAUCCGGGGCAACACACAUCCUACAAUGGGAUCGACAGCGGGUAGCGACGGGGUAACCCUGAGCCAAUCCUCUAAACGAUCUCUCAGUUCAGAUUGCGGGCUGCAAUUCGCCCGCAUGAAGCCGGAAUCGGUAGUAAUCGCAAAUCAGCAGGUUGCGGUGAAUACGUUCUCGCUCCUUGUACACACUGCCCGUCAAGCCAGCAAAGUCAGCAGCGCCCGAAGCGGGUGACCGUAACCCUUGUGGAGCGGCCCUUCUACGGCGAGGUUGGCGAUGAGGACUAAGUCGUAACAAGGUAUCCGUACUGGAAGGUGCGGCUGGAUCACCUCCUU